CGCAUCUGUGCAUGCAGCAUAUCAAUAAGCGGAGGAAAAGAAACUAACAAGGAUUCCCCUAGUAACGGCGAGUGAAGCGGGAAGAGCUCAAAUUAGAAAUCUUAAAGGGUUUCCCUUUACGAAUUGUAGUUUAAAGAAGAUGUUUUCUGUUGAGGUUUUGGUAAAAGUUCUUUGGAAUAGGACAUCAUAGAGGGUGAGAAUCCCGUAUUUGACCUUUACUUUCAACUUUGUGAUACACUUUCAAAGAGUCGGAUUGUUUGGGAAUGCAGUCCAAAAUGGGUGGUAAAUUUCAUCUAAAGCUAAAUAUUGGCGAGAGACCGAUAGCGAACAAGUACCGUGAGGGAAAGAUGAAAAGAACUUUGAAAAGAGAGUUAAACAGUACGUGAAAUUGUCAAAAGGGAAGCGUUUGACACCAGUGUUGUUUUUCUGAAAAUCAAUUAAAGAACUGUUUAUGCUAAGCUGUUUAGACUUUAUCAGCUAUCUGUUUAGUUUUGAGCUUUUCUUUAAUGCACUUUUCAGUUAACAAGUCAACAUCAAUUUCUUUUGCUGUAAAAAAGCUUGAGGAAGGUGGCUUGAGAUUCGUCUUAAGUGUUUAUAGCCUCUUGCCUAUGCAGUCGGAGAGACUGAGGUCUGCAGCGUAGAUCCUUCGGGGCUAAAUGCAUUUGUGCUAAGUUAUAGCAUUUUAUAGACAACUUGUUGACUAUGAUUUGUCUUGUAGCUUACUCGCUUAUGUUAUUUUACCUACGCUUAGGAUGUUGAGUCGUAGAGCACGCAG
rnacentral:rRNA from 1 species